UGAGGAAUAUUGCGCAAUGGGGGAAACCCUGACGCAGCAACGCCGCGUGGGUGAAGAAGGCCUUAGGGUUGUAAAUCCCUUUCGGCGGGGAAGAUGGUGACGGUACCCGCAGAAGAAGCUCCGGCUAACUCCGUGCCAGCAGCCGCGGUAAUACGGAGGGAGCUAGCGUUGUUCGGAAUUACUGGGCGUAAAGGGCGCGUAGGCGGUUAAGUAAGUCAGAUGUGAAAGCCCCGGGCUCAACCUGGGAACUGCAUUUGAUACUGCUUAACUAGAGUGUGGUAGAGGAGAGUGGAAUUUCAGGUGUAGCGGUGAAAUGCGUAGAGAUCUGAAGGAACAUCAGUGGCGAAGGCGACUCUCUGGACCAACACUGACGCUGAGGUGCGAAAGCGUGGGUAGCAAACAGGAUUAGAUACCCUGGUAGUCCACGCCGUAAACGAUGUCAACUAACUGUUGGGCGGGUUUCCGCUUAGUGGUGCAGCUAACGCAAUAAGUUGACCGCCUGGGGAGUACGGCCGCAAGGCUA
rnacentral:rRNA from 1 species